UGGCACGUGGCUCAACGGUUAAGAGCGACGGCAUCAGAGCGAUAGAGGAAGGGGCCCGGGUUCGAACCCGGGCAGUGGCAA